rnacentral:lncRNA from 1 species
UUCCAUUUCACAUAUGUUGCCACUGUGCCACAACCUUUUGAAAUUAGUAAAUGUCUUCUCGUUUUGCAUAUUCAUUCUUUUCGAUAUAUCCUAAAUGCGUCCCUACAUUACAAAAUAUUUAUACCUGGAAUUAAAGGCAGUCAUCGGGAUCACAGCAUAAAGGUUCCCAAAAUAUUUUUUGGAGUCUAUUAGAGCACCCAGAACCCAGAGUAAGGUGAUUUUUGUUGGAUGAGAACUAAGAAUGUGCCGAACUUCUUGUGAUGUGGGGUCAUCGUGAUUCUAGUUGCAUGUAGCGGAAAGGGAGGAGAGGCUGCCAGCAUAUAACAGAUUUUCCAGCCUUUUUGGAGGCGAAUUGGCAUGCUUUGAGAAUAGCGAAAGCUUCGGCCGUGAAUAUGGAAAGCUCAAAGAAGUUGGGGUCGGAAAAAUCGAAUUUUGAAAUUUGAAAGCUGGAAUCGUUUGCCCAUUUUUGCCCACCAAUUAGUUUUUUUUGCCCACGUCCAG